AGAGUUUGAUCCUGGCUCAGGAUGAACGCUAGCGACAGGCUUAACACAUGCAAGUCGAGGGGCAGCACAGGUAGCAAUACCGGGUGGCGACCGGCGCACGGGUGAGUAACGCGUAUGCAACUUGCCUAUCAGAGGGGGAUAACCCGGCGAAAGUCGGACUAAUACCGCAUGAAGCAGGGGCCCCGCAUGGGGAUAUUUGCUAAAGAUUCAUCGCUGAUAGAUAGGCAUGCGUUCCAUUAGGCAGUUGGCGGGGUAACGGCCCACCAAACCGACGAUGGAUAGGGGUUCUGAGAGGAAGGUCCCCCACAUUGGUACUGAGACACGGACCAAACUCCUACGGGAGGCAGCAGUGAGGAAUAUUGGUCAAUGGCCGAGAGGCUGAACCAGCCAAGUCGCGUGAGGGAUGAAGGUUCUAUGGAUCGUAAACCUCUUUUAUAAGGGAAUAAAGUGCGGGACGUGUCCCGUUUUGUAUGUACCUUAUGAAUAAGGAUCGGCUAACUCCGUGCCAGCAGCCGCGGUAAUACGGAGGAUCCGAGCGUUAUCCGGAUUUAUUGGGUUUAAAGGGUGCGUAGGCGGCCUUUUAAGUCAGCGGUGAAAGUCUGUGGCUCAACCAUAGAAUUGCCGUUGAAACUGGGGGGCUUGAGUAUGUUUGAGGCAGGCGGAAUGCGUGGUGUAGCGGUGAAAUGCAUAGAUAUCACGCAGAACCCCGAUUGCGAAGGCAGCCUGCCAAGCCAUGACUGACGCUGAUGCACGAAAGCGUGGGGAUCAAACAGGAUUAGAUACCCUGGUAGUCCACGCAGUAAACGAUGAUCACUAGCUGUUUGCGAUACACUGUAAGCGGCACAGCGAAAGCGUUAAGUGAUCCACCUGGGGAGUACGCCGGCAACGGUGAAACUCAAAGGAAUUGACGGGGGCCCGCACAAGCGGAGGAACAUGUGGUUUAAUUCGAUGAUACGCGAGGAACCUUACCCGGGUUUGAACGCAUUCGGACCGAGGUGGAAACACCUUUUCUAGCAAUAGCCGUUUGCGAGGUGCUGCAUGGUUGUCGUCAGCUCGUGCCGUGAGGUGUCGGCUUAAGUGCCAUAACGAGCGCAACCCUUGCCACUAGUUACUAACAGGUGAUGCUGAGGACUCUGGUGGGACUGCCAGCGUAAGCUGCGAGGAAGGCGGGGAUGACGUCAAAUCAGCACGGCCCUUACAUCCGGGGCGACACACGUGUUACAAUGGCGUGGACAAAGGGAGGCCACCUGGCGACAGGGAGCGAAUCCCCAAACCACGUCUCAGUUCGGAUCGGAGUCUGCAACCCGACUCCGUGAAGCUGGAUUCGCUAGUAAUCGCGCAUCAGCCAUGGCGCGGUGAAUACGUUCCCGGGCCUUGUACACACCGCCCGUCAAGCCAUGGGAGCCGGGGGUACCUGAAGUCCGUAACCGCGAGGAUCG
rnacentral:rRNA from 2 species